rnacentral:rRNA from 1 species
UUGAAGAGUUUGAUCAUGGCUCAGAUUGAACGCUGGCGGCAGGCCUAACACAUGCAAGUCGAACGGUAACAGGAAGCAGCUUGCUGCUUUGCUGACGAGUGGCGGACGGGUGAGUAAUGUCUGGGAAACUGCCUGAUGGAGGGGGAUAACUACUGGAAACGGUGGCUAAUACCGCAUAACGUCGCAAGACCAAAGAGGGGGACCUUCGGGCCUCUUGCCAUCAGAUGUGCCCAGAUGGGAUUAGCUUGUUGGUGAGGUAACGGCUCACCAAGGCGACGAUCCCUAGCUGGUCUGAGAGGAUGACCAGCCACACUGGAACUGAGACACGGUCCAGACUCCUACGGGAGGCAGCAGUGGGGAAUAUUGCACAAUGGGCGCAAGCCUGAUGCAGCCAUGCCGCGUGUAUGAAGAAGGCCUUCGGGUUGUAAAGUACUUUCAGCGGGGAGGAAGGUGUUGUGGUUAAUAACCGCAGCAAUUGACGUUACCCGCAGAAGAAGCACCGGCUAACUCCGUGCCAGCAGCCGCGGUAAUACGGAGGGUGCAAGCGUUAAUCGGAAUUACUGGGCGUAAAGCGCACGCAGGCGGUCUGUCAAGUCGGAUGUGAAAUCCCCGGGCUCAACCUGGGAACUGCAUUCGAAACUGGCAGGCUUGAGUCUUGUAGAGGGGGGUAGAAUUCCAGGUGUAGCGGUGAAAUGCGUAGAGAUCUGGAGGAAUACCGGUGGCGAAGGCGGCCCCCUGGACAAAGACUGACGCUCAGGUGCGAAAGCGUGGGGAGCAAACAGGAUUAGAUACCCUGGUAGUCCACGCCGUAAAUGAUGUCUACUUGGAGGUUGUGCCCUUGAGGCGUGGCUUCCGGAGCUAACGCGUUAAGUAGACCGCCUGGGGAGUACGGCCGCAAGGUUAAAACUCAAAUGAAUUGACGGGGGCCCGCACAAGCGGUGGAGCAUGUGGUUUAAUUCGAUGCAACGCGAAGAACCUUACCUGGUCUUGACAUCCACAGAACUUUCCAGAGAUGGAUUGGUGCCUUCGGGAACUGUGAGACAGGUGCUGCAUGGCUGUCGUCAGCUCGUGUUGUGAAAUGUUGGGUUAAGUCCCGCAACGAGCGCAACCCUUAUCCUUUGUUGCCAGCGAUUAGGUCGGGAACUCAAAGGAGACUGCCAGUGAUAAACUGGAGGAAGGUGGGGAUGACGUCAAGUCAUCAUGGCCCUUACGACCAGGGCUACACACGUGCUACAAUGGCGCAUACAAAGAGAAGCGACCUCGCGAGAGCAAGCGGACCUCAUAAAGUGCGUCGUAGUCCGGAUUGAGUCUGCAACUCGACUCCAUGAAGUCGGAAUCGCUAGUAAUCGUGGAUCAGAAUGCCACGGUGAAUACGUUCCCGGGCCUUGUACACACCGCCCGUCACACCAUGGGAGUGGGUUGCAAAGAAGUAGGUAGCUUAACCUUCGGGAGGGCGCUUACCACUUUGUGAUUCAUGACUGGGGUGAAGUCGUAACAAGGUAACCGUAGGGGAACCUGCGGUUGGAUCACCUCCUU